NNNNNNNNNNNNNNNNNNNNNNNNNNNNNNNNNNNNNNNNNNNNNNNUGGGAUUUUUUUUGGUUUUUUGGGGGUUUUUUGGGGGUUUUUUGGGGUAUUUUUGGGAUUUUUUUGGGAUUUUUUUGGGGAAUUUUUGGGGUAUUUUUGGGAUAUUUUUGGGAUUUUUUGGGGAAUUUUUGGGGUAUUUUUGGGGUAUUUAUGGGAUUUUUUUGGGAUAUUUUUGGGGUAUUUUUGGGGAAUUUUUUGGGUAUUUUUGGGAAUUUUUGGGGUAUUUCAGGGUAUUUUUGGAGAUAUUUUUGGGGUAUUUUUGGGGUAUUUUUGGGGUAUUUUGGGGGAUAAUUCUGGGAUAUUUUUGGGAUAUUUUUGGGAUAAAUCUAGGAUAUUUUUUUUGGGUAUUUUUGGGAUAUUUUUUGGAUAAUUCUGGGAUAUUUUUUGGGGUAUUUUUGGGGUAUUUUUGGGAUAUUUUUCGGAUAUUUUUGGGAUAUUUUUUGGGGUAUUUCCGGGGUAUUUUUUGGGAUAAUUUUGGGGUGUUUCGGGGCCUCACCGCCACCUGGCGCGCUGACCGUGGUCUCGGGGUUUUUGGGGAUAUUUCAGGGAUAUUUUUGGGAUAUUUUUGGGGAUAUUUCAGGGAUUUUUUGGGGAUAUUUUUGGGAUAUUUUGGGGAUAUUUCAGGGAUAUUUUUGGGGAUAUUUCAGGGAUAUUUUUGGGGAUAUUUUUGGGGAUAUUUUUGGCAUAUUUUGGGGAUAUUUUGGGGAUAUUUCAGGGAUAUUUUUGGGAUAUUUUUGGGAUAUUUUUGGGAUAAUUUUGGGAUAUUUUUGGGAUAUUUCGGGGAUAUUUUCAGGGAUAUUUUUGGGAUAUUUCAGGGAUAUUUUUGGGAUAUUUCAGGGAUAUUUUUGGGGAUAUUUCGGGGAUAUUUUUGGGGAUAUUUUUGAGGAUAUUUCAGGGAUAUUUCAGGGAUAUUUUUGGGAUAUUUUUGGGAUAUUUUGGUGAUAUUUUUGGGAUAUUUUGGGGAUAUUUCAGGGAUAUUUUUGGGAUAUUUCAGGGAUACUUUGGGGAUAUUUCAGGGAUAUUUUGGGGAUAUUUCAGGGAUAUUUCAGGGAUAUUUUGGGGAUAUUUAGGGGAUAUUUUCGGAUAUUUCAGGGAUGUUUUCGGGUGUUUUUUCUCCUCACCGCCGCCCGGCGCGCUGACCGUGGUCUCGGGCCCGAAGUCGCCGUAGCCGCCCUCGGAGCGGGCGCGCACCCGCACCCCGUAGA
rnacentral:lncRNA from 1 species